GUUCAGUUCCAGAAGAUGGUGAUGCAAAAUCAGGAUUCUCCAUGAUCACUGCUGCCAUCUGAAGCCAUAACACAGACCCAAAAGAUUAGCCAGAUUACAUAACAAUUGCUCCUGUAGUUCAGUUCCAGAAGAUGGUAAUGCUAACUCAGGGCUCUCAUUGAUCAUUGCUGCCAUCUGAAGCCAUAACACAGACGCAAAAGAUUAGCUAGAUUACGUAACAAUUGGUCCAAAAGAAGCAAGUUGAUCUUAUUGAUAUAUGUUGACGGCAUAAUAUUGGCUGAGAAUGACAAGGAGUUCAUUAAACCACAAAGCAGCGGUUGUUCUCCAUCUUCGAGAUGAAAGACACGAAUGAAGUAUGUUUCUUUGUCAGAAUCAACAUGUUAAGAGAUUGUUCAAGAAAACUUCUUAGUUUGUUUCAAGAUGUUUACAUAAGGAAUAUGCUUCACCGGUUUUGGAUCCAUGAAUUGUAAUAACCCAAGCAUUUUGGUGUAAA